AGAUUGAACGCUGGCGGAAUGCUUUACACAUGCAAGUCGAACGGCAGCACGGGGGCAACCCUGGUGGCGAGUGGCGAACGGGUGAGUAAUACAUCGGAACGUGCCCAGUCGUGGGGGAUAACUACGCGAAAGCGUAGCUAAUACCGCAUACGAUCUACGGAUGAAAGCGGGGGAUCGCAAGACCUCGCGCGAUUGGAGCGGCCGAUGGCAGAUUAGGUAGUUGGUGGGGUAAAGGCUCACCAAGCCGUCGAUCUGUAGCUGGUCUGAGAGGACGACCAGCCACACUGGGACUGAGACACGGCCCAGACUCCUACGGGAGGCAGCAGUGGGAAUUUUUGGACAAUGGGCGCAAGCCUGAUCCAGCCAUUCCGCGUGCAGGAUGAAGGCCCUGGGUUGUAAACUGCUUUUGUACGGAACGAAAGCCUUCUUCUAAUACAGGAGGUCAGUGACGGUACGUAAGAUAAGCAACCGGCUAACUACGUGACCAGCAGCCGUGGUAAC
rnacentral:rRNA from 1 species